rnacentral:rRNA from 1 species
CUGGCUCAGGAUGAACGCUGGCGGCGUGCCUAACACAUGCAAGUCGAGCGGAGUUAGAAGAAGAAGCUUGCUUCAUUUCUAACUUAGCGGCGGACGGGUGAGUAACACGUGAGUAACCUGCCCUCGAGUGGGGAAUAACACCGAGAAAUCGGUGCUAAUACCGCAUAAUGUCAUGAGACCGCAUGAUCUUAUGACCAAAGGAUUUAUUCGCUUAAGGAUGGACUCACGUCCGAUUAGUUAGUUGGUGAGGUAACGGCCCACCAAGACAUCGAUCGGUAGCCGAACUGAGAGGUUGAUCGGCCACAUUGGGACUGAGACACGGCCCAGACUCCUACGGGAGGCAGCAGUGGGGAAUAUUGGGCAAUGGGCGAAAGCCUGACCCAAGCAACGCCGCGUGAAGGAUGAAGGUCUUCGGAUUGUAAACUUCUUUGAUCAGGGACGAAACAAAUGACGGUACCUGAAGAACAAGCCACGGCUAACUACGUGCCAGCCGCAGC